rnacentral:rRNA from 1 species
UACGUAGGGGGCUAGCGUUGUCCGGAAUCAUUGGGCGUAAAGAGCUCGUAGGCGGUUUGUCGCGUCUGCUGUGAAAACUCGGGGCUUAACUCCGGGCCUGCAGUGGGUACGGGCAGACUAGAGUGCGGUAGGGGAGACUGGAAUUCCUGGUGUAGCGGUGAAAUGCGCAGAUAUCAGGAGGAACACCGGUGGCGAAGGCGGUUCUCUGGGCAUGUUCUGACGCUGAGGAGCGAAAGUGUGGGGAGCGAACAGG